GCACUGCUGAGGAGUCCCAAAAUAGGAUGAAAUGGCUAUCCAGUGC
rfam:Schistosoma rodhaini strain Burundi genome assembly, scaffold: SROB_scaffold0001314